rnacentral:rRNA from 1 species
GACGAACGCUGGCGGCGUGCUUAACACAUGCAAGUCGAACGAAGUGGCGAACGGGUGAGUAACGCGUAAUCAACCUGCCCUUCAGAGAGGGACAACAGUUGGAACCGACUGCUAAUACCGCAUACUGAAGGAGGGGAGUGCGUCUGAUUAGCUAGUUGGGGGGGUAACGGCCCACCAAGGGGAUGAUAAGUAGCCGGGUUGAGAGGAUGAACGGCCAAAUUGGGACUGAGACACGGCCCAGACUCCUACGGGAGGCAGCAGUGGGGAAUCUUCCGCAAUGGACGAAAGUCUGACGGAGCAACGCCGCGUGAGUGAUGACGGCCUUCGGGUUGUAAAGCUCUGUUAAUCGGGACGCGGUACCGGAAUAGAAAGCCACGGCUAACUACGUGCCAGCAGCCGCGGUAAUAC